UCCUACGGGAGGCAGCAGUGAGGAAUAUUGGUCAAUGGGCGGAAGCCUGAACCAGCCAAGUCGCGUGAGGGAAGAAGGCCCUGCGGGUCGCAGACCUCUUUGGACGGGGAGCAAGGCCGCCGACGUGUCGGCGGAAGGAGAGUACCCGUAGAACAAGCAUCGGCUAACUCCGUGCCAGCAGCCGCGGUAAUACGGAGGAUGCGAGCGUUAUCCGGAUUCAUUGGGUUUAAAGGGUGCGCAGGCGGGCCUUUAAGCCGGCGGUGAAAUCGCGGGGCUCAACCCCGCCGAGCCGUCGGCACUGGGGG
rnacentral:rRNA from 1 species